AACGCCCAGUCCUUCCUAAUUAGCAAUGGGCCUUUCUCUUCAAGUUUAGAGAAAGAAGAAGAAGAAGGAAGCAUCACCACCCUCCUCCUUCCUUCUGCCGUUUGUUUCCCCGUCUUGCCACACAGAAACGGCGUCGUCUACCAUCGUCAAUGGCGGAAGAUGAAGUGCUUUACGAGACACGUCUUCAUGUCUCCAGACCUUACACUCCUAAUUACCCUCCUCUUCAACACUCCAACAAGGUUAACCGGGUCGGUUUUUUGUCGAUAAUCAAAGAUAAAUGGAGUGAUUACAGAAAUUACAAUUCUAAUAAUUCAAGAUUAGCGACAAGAAUUAAGAGGAAUUUGUCGCUGUUUAUAUCUCCGAGAGGUGAAUAUGUUGCUGUUGCAAGUGCAAAUCAAAUUACGAUUUUGUCCAAAGAGAAUGAGUAUCAGCAACCUCACGGCAUUUUCACCUGUAGCAGUGGUGGUGUGUUUACGUGCGGGGUUUGGUCGGAAACUCAUGGUGUUUUAGGAGUUGUUGAUGAUAGUGAUACGGUUUAUUUUAUCAAAGUGAAUGGGGAAGAGAUUACGAGAAUUAGUAGACGGCUGUUAAAAGUGAGUUCGUCAAUAGCAGGGUUGAUUCCGCAGGAUGAUGAUGAUAAGGAUGCGCAGCGGCGGUCUUGUUUGUGUAGUUUUGUUAUUAUCACAGCAGAUGGAUGUCUUCGUCAAAUUGAGAUUGGUAAAGAGCCAAGUGCUUCUGUUUCAAAUAGUGAGGUGAAGUUGCCGGGGAAGUUUCCUAAGGAUGUUUUCUGCUUCGACUAUAGUUCGGAAUGUUUGUUGCUUGUUGCUGUUGGUAGUGCAGUUGGCCUCUCGGAAUCAACUGGUGGAAAUUCUGCUGGAUCUUGCAUUCUUUCUCUUUGGUGUAUAAGUCAAAACUUUGAUUUGGAACCAUUGUUUUCUAUUCAAUUUGAAGGCUUAUACUCCAAAUCAAAAGAUGCCAUACUAGCAUGUCCAAAGGUGCUAAUUUCACCACUUGGCAAGUUUGUCGCCACUUUAGAUAUAUCAGGAUGCUUGCACAUUUUCAAGAUGGAUAAAGAAAGCCGUUCACUUUUGAUCUUUGCUGGUGAAGAGAAAUUAGGUUCACAAGGAACCAGUAACUUAACAAACGGACAGAAUGAGCUUUUAAGUGAUGUUGUGGAUUUUACUUGGUGGUCUGACCACAUCAUGACUAUUGCAAAACGUGGCGGCACUGUGACCAUGCUUGAUAUUGUUACUGGCUUAAAGUUUCAAGAGGACGACCAUCUAUAUUCAAUUAUUGUUUUGGAUAGAAUACAGCAGUUUCAAGGACACAUCUUUGUUUUAGAUAGCAAAAUCCCAUCUAAUCAUAGUAGAGAAUCAGGUGAUGUGCAAGAGCAGAUCAUGGGAGGCAGAAGUGAUCAAUUUGAUGUUUCCCAGUUGCACUGGAGUCUGAUCUCACUUUCUAAGAUAUCUGUUCCUGAAAUGUACCAUAUCUUAAUUAGUAGUCUUAAAUAUCAAGCUGCCUUGGACUUUGCCAAUCGUCAUGGCUUGGACAGAGAUGAAGUUUUGAAAUCUCACUGGUUGCACUCUGGCCAAGGAAAAGAUGAUAUAAAUAUGUUUUUGUCCAAAAUAAAGGAUCACAGUUUUGUCAUUUCUGAAUGUGUUGAUAAGGUUGGACCAACAGAAGAUGCUGUAAAAGCCUUACUUUCAUAUGGGCUGCAUGUAACUGAUCAGUUCUGUUUUUCAGAGUCAAAAUCUGAUAAAGGGAGCCAGAUCUGGGAUUUUCGUAUCGCUAGACUUCAGCUGUUGCAAUUCAGGGACAGGCUAGAGACCUAUAUGGGGAUAAACAUGGGCAGGUUUUCUGUACAGGAAUAUAGCAAAUUCCGUGUUAUACUUGUUAGUGAAGCUGCCACAGCACUUGCUGAAAGUGGGAAAAUCGGUGCCCUAAACCUCCUCUUCAAGCGUCAUCCGUAUUCGCUAUCUCCUUCAAUGUUGAAAAUAUUAGCUGCUAUUCCUGAAACUGUUCCUGUUCAAACCUAUGGGCAGCUUCUUCCUGGGAGAUCUCCUCCCCCAAGAAUUGCUCUUAGGGAAGAAGAUUGGGUAGAAUGUGAGGAGAUGGUAAACUUUAUCAAUAGGCCACCGGAGAAUCAUGAGAUUGGCAUCCAGCUCCGAACUGAGCCCAUUGUCAAACUGUGCCUCGGCUAUCUUUGGCCAUCAUCUAGUGAACUUUCUGAGUGGUACAGGUGUAGAGCUAGAGAUAUUGAUAGCUGUAGUGGCCAGCUUGACAACUGUCUCUUCUUGAUUGAUUUUGCUUGCCGCAAAGGCAUCUCUGAGUUACAGAAGUUUCAUGAAGAUAUUCUAUACUUGCACCAGCUCAUAUAUUCAGAUGAAAAUGAUACUGACACAUGUUCCAAUAUGAGCCUUAUCUCCUGGGAACAAUUAUCUGAUUAUGAAAAAUUCAGAAUGAUGCUUAAGGGAGUGAAAGAGGAAAAUGUGGUAAAAAAACUGCAUGAUAGGGCAAUUCCAUUUAUGCAAAAUAGGUUUCACAACAUCCCUUUUACUAAAGAUCAGGAUAUAGAUGGGCAUUUUCCCUCAGUUCACAUGGACGAUUCAUUUCUGGUUAAAUGGCUGAAGGAAAUUGCUUCGGAGAAUAAACUGGACAUAUGCUUGAUGGUUAUUGAGGAAGGAUGCAGGGAAUUGCAUGUUAAUGGUUUCUUCAAGGACGAGAUUGCAGCUGUAGAUUGUGCUUUGCAGUGCAUUUAUUUGUGCACUGUUACAGAUAGAUGGAGUAUUAUGGCUGCCUUAUUGACAAAGCUCCCACAGAAGCAAGAUGUUGGAAUAUCUAUUGAGGGCCUUGAGAAACGACUAAAACUUGCUGAAGGUCAUAUUGAAGCAGGGAGGCUUUUGGCAUUGUAUCAGGUUCCAAAGCCAAUGAAGUUUUUCCUGGAAGCUCAUGCAGAUGAAAAAGGUGUAAAACAGAUUCUUCGUCUUAUACUCUCAAAAUUUGUUCGGAGACAGCCAGGUCGAUCAGAUAAUGAUUGGGCAAACAUGUGGCGUGAUGUGCAAUGCUUGCGAGAGAAGGCUUUUCCUUUCCUUGACCCAGAGUAUAUGCUUGUGGAAUUCUGCAGAGGAAUGCUGAAAGCUGGGAAAUUUUCUCUUGCAAGAAAUUAUCUGAAAGGUACAAGUUCUGUAGCCUUAGCAUCAGAGAAAGCAGAAAAUCUUGUUAUUCAAGCAGCACGGGAGUACUUCUUCUCGGCUUCAAGUCUCUCUUGCUCUGAAAUCUGGAAGGCCAAGGAAUGCCUUAAUUUAUUUCCAAAUAGCAGAUAUGUUCAGACAGAGGCUGAUUUAAUUGAUGCUCUCACUGUUAAACUUCCCUACCUUGGAGUGACUCUACUACCUAUGCAGUUCAGGCAAAUAAAGGAUCCUAUGGAGAUCAUCAAAAUGGCAAUCACUAGCCAAGCUGGAGCUUAUCUACACGUUGAUGAACUCAUUGAGGUUGCCAAACUUCUUGGGUUGAACUCUUCAGAUAAUAUAUCUACUGUCCAGGAAGCUAUUGCUAGAGAAGCUGCAGUUGCAGGUGAUCUGCAAUUGGCAUUUGAUCUCUGCCUUGUUCUUGCCAAAAAAGGGCAUGGUCCUGUUUGGGAUCUAUGUGCUGCAAUAGCAAGGGGUCCUGCCCUUGAAAAUAUUGAUAUAGGCUCUCGAAAGCAGCUGCUAGGUUUUGCUUUGAGUCAUUGUGACGAGGAAUCUAUUGGUGAGUUGCUUCAUGCGUGGAAAGAUCUUGAUAUGCAAGGCCAGUGUGAGAAUUUGUCUAUCUUGACUGGGACAAUGCCGUCCAGCUUCUCAGAUCAAGGUUCCUCCAUUACAUCACUCCCAGCUCAUGGAAUAGAAGAAAUAGUUGACCUCAAAGAUUGCUCUGAACUGGUUGGAGGAGCAGGCAGUGGACAUCAAGAAGUUUGUUUCAGUAACAUUAAAAAUACACUUUCUAUUGUUACUAAAAACUGGCAUGUGGAUAGUGGAACUGAUCUGGAAUCUUUUUUGCGGGAAAAUGGAAAACUUCUAUCUUUUGCCACUAUUCAACUCCCAUGGCUGCUUGAAUUAAGUAAGAAAGCAGAAAAUGGUAAGAAAUUUUCCAACUUUAUUCCUGGAAAGCAUUAUGUCAGCAUAAGAACAGAAGCUGGGGUAACUAUCCUGUCCUGGCUGGCAAGAAAUGGUUUUGCUCCCAGAGAUGAUGUUAUUGCCUCUCUGGCAAAAUCAAUCAUAGAACCACCUGCUACUGAAGAGGAAGACAUCACAGGGUGCUCUUUCUUAUUGAAUCUCGUGGAUGCCUUUAGUGGAGUAGAAAUAAUAGAAGAGCAGCUAAAGAUGCGGGAGAAUUACCAAGAAAUUUGUAGCAUCAUGAAUGUGGGAAUGACAUACAGUUUAUUACAUAACUCUGGAGUUGAGUGCAAGGGUCCGGCUCAGAGGAGAGAGCUGCUGCUGAGGAAGUUUAAAGAGAAGCACAAACUACCUAGUUCAGAUGAAAUGACCAAAAUGGAUGAAGUACAGUCCACGUUUUGGAGGGAAUGGAAGUUCAAAUUAGAAGAAAAAAAACGCGUAGCAGAACAAUCUAGAGAGUUGGAGAAAAUCAUUCCUGGAGUUGAAACUGGGCGUUUUCUGUCUGGUGACCUUGACUACAUCAAGAGUGCUAUUUUCUCCUUGAUUGAAUCAGUAAAGGUGGAAAAGAAGCACAUUAUAAGGGACGUGUUAAAAUUGGUCGAUGCCUAUGGAUUAAAUCACACUGAGGUGCUACAAUGGCAUCUAAGUUAUUUUCUUGUUUCUGAGGUUUGGACUGAUGAUGAUAUUAAGGCUGAAAUUUCAGAGGUCAAGGAAGAAAUAGUUGGCUGUGGUUCUGAAACCAUCAAAACUAUCUCCUUGGUUGUAUACCCUGCAAUUGAUGGGUGCAACAAAAUACGCCUUGCUUGUAUAUAUGGCCUCCUCUCUGAUUGCUACUUGCGGCUGGAAGAAACCAAAGAAUCAUUGUCAACAGCUCAUCCAAAUUCAUCAAAUUUGUCUGCUCUUGAAUUAGCUCAUUUGUACAAGGUGUUUGAGCAAGAAUGUCAAAGGGUUUCCUUUAUUAAUAACCUAAACUUUAAUAAUGUUGCUGGAUUAGAUGGUUUAAAUUUGCAGUCUUUCCGAAAUGAAGUCUUUUCACAUGUUGAUGAAUUUAGCGUGGAAGCCUUGGCAAAAAUGGUACAAGCAUUGGUCAGUAUCUACACUGAUUCAGUACCGGAAGGUCUCAUACUGUGGCCAGAUGUCUACAAACAUUAUGUGAUGAGUUUAUUGAUGAAUUUGGAAAAUAGAGUUAGAACAGAGUUUGAUGUCAGAAAUGCUGAAAAUUUUCAGGACUUUAUGAGUCGACUGGAGCAAACCUAUGAUUUUUGUAGAACAUAUAUCAGGCUUUUGGCACUUUCAGAUUCUUUAGAUAUUAUGAAGCAAUACUUCACAGUGAUUAUACCACUGCAUGAUUCUCAUGAGAGUAUACCAGAUAACUCAAAAUGGCAGGAUUGCCUCAUCAUCCUCUUGAACUUUUGGCUUAAGUUGAGCGAAGAAAUGCAGGAAAUGGCAUUAAAUGAGAGGUCAGUUGGAAAAUUCAGGUUUGAUCCAGAGUUCUUAUCUAGUGGUCUGAAGGUUUUUAUGAGGAUGAUGAUGGAGGACAGUGUUUCACCAAGUCAGGUCUGGGGUACCUUAAUUGGUUAUGCAAGUUGUGGUUUAAUUGGUGAUUUUUCUGUUGAGAUACCAAUUUUCUGCAGAUCUAUGUUAUAUGCUGGUUGCGGGUUUGGAGCCAUUUCAAAAGUAUUCUUGGAAGCAAUGUCGAAGUGUGCCAUCAGUUCAGCUCCAACUGCUGACAAUGAAUCCCUGGAUCUUCCUCAUCUCUAUAUAAAUAUGUUGGAGCCGAUUCUAAGAGAUUUGGUUGAUGGAUCCCAUGACCACCAGAAUUUGUAUCAAUUUUUGUCAUCUCUGAGUAAGUUGGAAGGUCAAAUAGAGGAUUUGCAAAGAGUCAGGCAUGCAGUUUGGGAAAGAAUGGCCCAAUUCUCUCAUAAUUUGGAGCUCCCUAGCCAUGUUCGAGUUUAUGUUCUAGAGAUUAUGCAGUUCAUAACAGGUAGAAACAUUAAGGGCUUCCCUACAGAGCUAGAAUCUAAUCUAUUAUCAUGGGAAGGAUGGGAUGGGUUGCUCUCUACCAGUAAAAAGAGUGAGACUUCUGCAAAUCAGGGGUUGCCUGAUCAUAUAGAUACUUCUAGCAGGUUUACAAGUACACUGGUUGCCCUCAAAUCAUCUCAGCUUGCAUCCUCCAUAUCCCCUAGGAUAGAAAUUACCCCUGAUGAUCUCGUGAAUAUUGAGACUGCAGUCUCUUGCUUCUUGAAGUUGUGUGCAUCUUCCUGUACAGAACCUCAUUUUGAUGCAUUGAUAGGCAUUUUAGAAGAGUGGGAAGGUUUUUUUGUAACGGCAAAAGAUGAAGUAGAUACCACAGAAGCAGAAAAUUGCUGGAGUAAUGAUGGCUGGGAUGAAGGAUGGGAAAGCUUUCAGGACGAAGAACCUCCUGAGAAAGAGAAGACAGAGAAUUCUAAUCAUGUUCAUCCUUUACAUGUUUGUUGGAUGGAAAUUAUCAAAAAGCUCAUCGGGUUGUCCCAGUUUAAGGAUGUGUCAAGGCUGAUUGAUCGAUCACUUUCAAAAACUUAUGGAAUAUUGCUUGAUGAAGAUGAUGCUAGGAGCUUGAGCCAGGCUGUACUUGAGAAGGAUUCUUUUAUGGCUCUAAAAAUGGUGCUUCUUCUGCCUUAUGAAGCAAUACAGUUGCAGUGUUUGGAUGUAGUUGAAGACAAGCUGAAACAAGGAGGGAUUUCAGACUUGGCUGGCAGGGACCAUGAGUUCUUAAUGCUCGUGUUAUCUUCUGGGGUUAUCUCAACUAUAAUCGCCAAACCCUCUUACAGCACCACUUUCUCUUAUCUCUGCUAUUUGGUUGGGAAUUUCUCACGCCAGAGUCAGGAAGCUGAGUCAUCAACAAUCAUGAACAACGGAACAAAUGAACAUGUAAACACAGAGAAAGACGUGUUAUUACUUUUCAGAAGAAUCAUGUUCCCCUGCUUCAUUUCAGAGCUUGUGAAGGGCGAUCAGCAGAUCCUAGCAGGAUUUCUCAUUACCAAAUUUAUGCACACAAAUCCUUCUCUCAGUCUCAUUAACAUCACAGAGGCUAGUCUUAGUAGGUACUUGGAGAGGCAGCUCCAUGCACUGCAGCAAGCUGACUUUUCUGCUGAGGAGAUAAUUUCCUGUGAAAUGUUUAAGAAUACAGUUUCCAGAUUGACUAUCAAGUUGCAAGAUCUGAUCCAGUCUGCAUUGCCAUUGAUUUCUAGCAAUGCUAGAUGAUAGGCUUGUUAGAAGAUUUUCAUGUCAGAAUAGCAGUUGUAUAAACUAUCUUAUGAACUCUUCAUUUUUGCCCCUGAAGAGGGGUAGAGAGGGUUUGAUUUUAAGAAACCCAUCUAGAUCACAACACACGUGUGUGCAUUGUUCCUUCCCUGGUUUUGUAAAAGAAGAUAGGGUUAGCCUGGUUCUUCGGUCCACUGGCCUUUCCCAUAUGGGAGAGCUGGAAAUUUAUCUGGUUUGAAAGAGUAACAAUCCAUUUUGUUUGUGAUAAAGGACAAUGUACCAAUCCUCCCAGGUGAUGCUUAUGCUCAACGAUGCCUUGUCAGCUGAGGGUGUACCUGAUCAAUUCAUUGAGUGGAAACCUGUCUCAAACUUUUGGUUUAUACGGGCGUGAUAGAUAAAUCUUCAUUGAGUGGACUCCCAAAGUUUGAUCGGAUGCUUAUGGGCACGGGUCCGGAUGGGCAUGUAGCUUCUCUUUUCCCUAGACAUCCACUGAUCCUCAAGGAAAAUCAGGAAUGGGUUACACCAGUCUCUCCAAAACCACCUCCAGAGAGAAUCACCUUCACUUUCCCUGUGAUCAAUUCUUCUGAACAUAUUGCACUUGUGUGUGGCGCUGGUAAAGCUGGGGUGGUGGAAUCAGCAGUGGGAAAUAGUCAGAAUUCUGAUGCAAAUGAUUCAAAGCUGCAGGAUUGCAUGUGUUAGCUGAUGAUUUCAUCCCGUCCAAGUAUAUAGAACUAGCAGCAUGUUUGUUUUCUCCUGUGCGGUUGAUGAUCAACAAUGGACGUGCCUUCAGAAUACAGAGAUUCGCCUCCCAGUCCUCAACCUUCCUGCCUGUGGAGUUCUCAGGGGCGAUAAUAUCUUGUCAGCUUUUCCAAAGUUCACACACACACACACACACACACCCACACCAUUUUCUGUCAUAAAUCUCUAAUGAUUGUUUUAAUUAGCUUAAUUGUUGUUUGAUAAUGACCAACACCCUUAAUAUACAUAGCUUUUGAUAAAAACUUUUUAUCAAAAUAAUAAUAUUUUUUAAAUUCAUCAA